rnacentral:lncRNA from 1 species
AGUAGCGGAGCUAGGGGGUGGCCAAGCAGGGCCAUGGCCCACCCCCAAAAAUUGGAAAUUACUUAAAUACCCAUAUACAUAUGUAAAAUUAUAAGGAUACGCUAUAUAUAUUAAUAAACGCGACAAAGUAUCAUGAAAGUGUAGUUGGCCGAGUGGUUAAAGCUGGUGAUUUUAGGAGUGAAGCUCAGGUUCAAGUCCUACUGACUCC